GACGAACGCUGGCGGCGUGCUUAACACAUGCAAGUCGAACGGUGAAGCGCCUUCCUUUUUGGCGGGUGUGGAUGAGUGGCGAACGGGUGAGUAACACGUGAGUAACCUGCCCCCUUCUUCUGGAUAACCGCAUGAAAGUGUGGCUAAUACGGGAUAUUCUGGGUCUGUCGCAUGAUGGGUCUGGGACAGAUAUUGUUUCGGUUGGGGAUGGGCUCGCGGCCUAUCAGCUUGUUGGUGGGGUGAUGGCCUACCAAGGCGGUGACGGGUAGCCGGCCUGAGAGGGUGGACGGUCACACUGGGAGUGAGACACGGGCCAGCCACGGACGGGAGGAGGCGGUAGGGAAUAGUGCUGAAUGGGAGCAAGCCGGAGGCAGCGACGCCGAGUGAGGGAUGGAGGCCGUCGGGUUGGGAAUCUCUUUCGGCAGUGAAGCAGGCCUGCCUCGUUUGUGGGUGGGUGGACGGUAGCUGGAUAAGAAGCGCCGGCUAACUACUU
rnacentral:rRNA from 1 species